GGGGAUGUGGCUCAGUUGGUAGAGUACUUGCCUUGCCUGCAUAAGGCCUUAGGUUCAAUCCCCAGCACCACCA
rnacentral:tRNA from 1 species